rnacentral:rRNA from 1 species
GAUGAACGCUGGCGGCGUGCCUAAUACAUGCAAGUCGAGCGAACAGAUGAGGAGCUUGCUCCUCUGACGUUAGCGGCGGACGGGUGAGUAACACGUGGAUAACCUACCUAUAAGACUGGGAUAACUUCGGGAAACCGGAGCUAAUACCGGAUAAUAUAUUGAACCGCAUGGUUCAAUAGUGAAAGACGGUUUUGCUGUCACUUAUAGAUGAAUCCGCGCCGCAUUAGCUAGUUGGUAAGGUAACGGCUUACCAAGGCAACGAUGCGUAGCCGACCUGAGAGGGUGGUCGGCCAGACUGGAGCUGAGACAGGGUCCAGACUCCUACGGGAGGCAGCAGUAGGGAAUCUUCCGCAAGGGGCGAAAGCCUGACGGAGCAACGCCGCGUGAGUGAUGAAGGUCUUCGGAUCGUAAAGCUCUGUUAUUAGGGAAGAACAAAUGUGUAAGUAACUAUGCACGUCUUGACGGUACCUAAUCAGAAAGCCACGGCUAACUACGUG